UUCGAUUCAACUUGGAACAGAAGAUUAGGAAUUUGUGCAUUAUAAAAAGAAAAUGCAGACUUUUUUUAAUUAAGAGCGGGAGGAGAUUAGUUGCAAGGAAGAGAAAUGCCGACAACGAUAAUGUUGAACUUAUGAGAUUUUCCAGUUUUGUCCUUAAGUAUCCCGAAAGAUCAUAUACUUUGGAGGAGUCCAACAUUUCACCCGAAGAAUUACGGAUGAAAUCUGAAAGUUUGGAAGAAUGGAGAGAACAUUCACUACUGAGAAAAUGAAUUUAAACAUCGGAGACUUUCUUUAUUAUAAAUUUAUUGAGAAAAAUGUCUUUGUAAAUAAACCUCAAACAAUUUUUGUCGGGACCGAAAGAAUCGAAGUUGUUAUAAACGGUUCUUUUCUGUAUUUUACAAUAAAUCAGUGUUUUGAGAUCGGGUUCAUUUUAAAUUAAAUAUAGAUUUAUUUUUAAGAUAUAGCCAAUAAGUCGAAAAUAUUUUCUGCAUUUGUGGUUCUCUUUAUUAUAACUGAUUUGCUUUCGAUGUUUAAAUUCAGAUUUAACAUCGUUUGACUUUUCUAUAGAUUUUGUGCAUGAAAAUGCAAAGAAACUUCGUUGUGAAGAUUGUGAAAAAGAAUUCUGUUUUAAGUCCAAAUUAGAAA
rnacentral:lncRNA from 1 species